UUCUUACACGCCUUCUACCAUCUGUCUUGCAUGAUGUGGCUUCCGACGCUUAAUUGAAUAGUCCUCUUUACUGUAGACCAGCCUAAAACAUCUCUAGAACUCUUAAUGUUAUAGAUGUUAGUUUGAGGAGUUGUAAUACCAGUUAUACACGGUGAUCACGUGCACAACUUGAUGCCAUUGAUGGUACCUCUAUGAAACUAUUAGGGCUUGCUAACACACGGAGUAGACUACAUAUGCG
rnacentral:rRNA from 1 species